rnacentral:rRNA from 1 species
GACGAACGCUGGCGGCGUGCUUAACACAUGCAAGUCGAACGGUAAGGCCCUUCGGGGUACACGAGUGGCGAACGGGUGAGUAACACGUGGGUGAUCUGCCCUGCACUUCGGGAUAAGCCUGGGAAACUGGGUCUAAUACCGGAUAGGACUCCGGACUGCAUGGUCUGGGGUGGAAAGCUUUUGCGGUGUGGGAUGGGCCCGCGGCCUAUCAGCUUGUUGGUGGGGUGAUGGCCUACCAAGGCGACGACGGGUAGCCGGCCUGAGAGGGUGACCGGGCACACUGGGACUGCGAUACGGCACAGACUCCUACGGGAGGCAGCAGUGGGGAAUAUUGCACAAUGGGCGCAAGCCUGAUGCAGCGACGCCGCGUGAGGGAUGACGGCCUUCGGGUUGUAAACCUCUUUCAGCAUCGACGAAGCGAAAGUGACGGUAGGUGCAGAAGAAGGACCGGCCAACUACGUGCCAGCCGCCGCCGUAA